AGGGUUCACCUUGUGAUCCUUGGUGUUUCAUUUAUGACUCAGACUAAGGCACGCGGUGAAUGCUAA
rnacentral:pre_miRNA from 1 species